rnacentral:rRNA from 1 species
AAAUGGACUCUCAGCAACGG